rnacentral:rRNA from 1 species
CCUACGGGAGGCUGCAGUAGGGAAUCUUCCACAAUGGACGAAAGUCUGAUGGAGCAACGCCGCGUGAGUGAAGAAGGGUUUCGGCUCGUAAAGCUCUGUUGGUAGUGAAGAAAGAUAGAGGUAGUAACUGGCCUUUAUUUGACGGUAAUUACUUAGAAAGUCACGGCUAACUACGUGCCAGCAGCCGCGGUAAUACGGAGGUGGCAAGCGUUGUCCGGAUUUAUUGGGCGUAAGGCGAGUGCAGGCGGUUCAAUAAGUCUGAUGUGAAAGCCUUCGGCUCAACCGGAGAAUUGCAUCAGAAACUGUUGAACUGGAGUGCAGAAGAGGAGAGUGGAACGCGAUGUGUAGCGGUGGAAGGCGUAGAUAUAUGGAAGAACACCAGUGGCGAAGGCGGCUCUCUGGUCUGCAACUGACGCUGAGGCUCGAAAGCAUGGGUAGCAAACAGGAUUAGAUACCCCAGUAGUC